UAGAAAGAAAGGUUAGUCAUUUAGUGAGGUUUAAUGAGUUAAAAUGUGCUGCUAGGAAGCUCCCUAAAACGUAAACAAAAAACGCCGUUAAUGGGAAAAACUAACAAUAGCAAGACUCAUUUACUUGUAAGAUAUUAUAUCUAUUCAGGGUAGAUAAAUUUUGUCAGUUUCGAGAUGAUCAUUUACGUUCUUGAAACAGCUGGUCGUACUAUAGAUUACUAAAUAAGGUAGAGCACUGUAGUAUUGUGACACAAAUCGGUGCUCACUAUUGGAAUUAAACAAAAUUAUAUAAACGGUUGCUGAGACCAUGUAAACAAUCAUAUUGAAGACUAUUAAUU